AAAACUAUAGUUAAUUAAUAACAUUUAUUUUGCAAAUAAAAAUUGCUAAAGGAAGC
rnacentral:tRNA from 1 species